UACGGAGGGUGCAAGCGUUAUCCGGAUUCACUGGGUUUAAAGGGUGCGUAGGCGGAUAGGUAAGUCCGUGGUGAAAUCCUGCAGCUUAACUGCAGAACUGCCGUGGAUACUCUCUAUCUUGAAUAUCGUGGAGGUUAGCGGAAUAUGUCAUGUAGCGGUGAAAUGCUUAGAUAUGACAUAGAACACCCAUUGCGAAGGCAGCUAACUAAGCGAUCAUUGACGCUGAUGCACGAAAGCGUGAGGAUCAAACAGG
rnacentral:rRNA from 1 species